CAAUAGCGUAUAUUAAAGUUGUUGCAGUUAAAAAGCUCGUAGUUGGAUUUCGGAUGGGACUUGCCGGUCCGUCGUUUCGAUGUGCACUGGCCAGUCCUAUCUUGUUGUCGGGGACUAGCUCCUGGGCUUCACUGUCCGGGACUAGGAGCUGACGAGGUUACUUUGAGUAAAUUAGAGUGUUCAAAGCAAGCCUACGCUCUGAAUACAUUAGCAUGGAAUAACACGAUAGGACUCUGGCUUAUCUUGUUGGUCUGUGAGACCAGAGUAAUGAUUAAGAGGGACAGUCGGGGGCAUUCGUAUUUCAUUGUCAGAGGUGAAAUUCUUGGAUUUAUGAAAGACGAACUUCUGCGAAAGCAUUUGUCAAGGAUGUUUNCAUUAA
rnacentral:rRNA from 1 species